GAUGAACGCUAGCGGCAGGCUUAAUACAUGCAAGUCGAGGGGUAGCAAGAUUGUAGCAAUACAAUUGUUGACGACCGGCAAACGGGUGCGGAACACGUACACAACCUUCCUACAAGUGGGGAAUAGCCCAGAGAAAUUUGGAUUAAUACCCCGUAACAUAGCGAUGUGGCAUCACAUUGCUAUUAUAGCUUCGGCGCUUGUUGAUGGUUGUGCGGCUGAUUAGAUAGUUGGCGGGGUAACGGCCCACCAAGUCUACGGUCAGUAGCUGAUGUGCGAGGCAGAUCAGUCACACGCGCAAUGAGACACGAGCCCGACUCCGACGGGAGGGAGCAGUAAGGAAUAUGGAACAGUCGACGGUAGUCUGAUCCAGCCAUGCCGCGUGAAGGAUUAAGGUCCUCCUGAUUGUAAACUUCUUUUAUAAGGGACGAAAAAAGGUCUUUCUAGAUCGUCUGACGGUACCUUAUGAAUAAGCGCCGGCUAAAGUCGUGCCAGCCGCCGCGGUAAGAC
rnacentral:rRNA from 1 species